rnacentral:rRNA from 1 species
UUGUGUGUUAGUGGAACGGUCUGGAAAGUCCGACGGUACAGGGUGAUAGUCCCGUACACCAAAAUGCACAGGUUGUGAACUCGAAGAGUAGGGCGGGACACGUGGUAUCCUGUCUGAAUAUGGGGGGACCAUCCUCCAAGGCUAAAUACUCCUGACUGACCGAUAGUGAACCAGUACCGUGAGGGAAAGGCGAAAAGAACCCCGGCGAGGGGAGUGAAAAAGAACCUGAAACCGUGUACGUACAAGCAGUGGGAGCACCUUCGGGUGUGACUGCGUACCUUUUGUAUAAUGGGUCAGCGACUUAUAUUCUGUAGCAAGGUUAACCGUAUAGGGGAGCCGCAGGGAAACCGAGUCUUAACUGGGCGUUAAGUUGCAGGGUAUAGACCCGAAACCCGGUGAUCUAGCCAUGGGCAGGUUGAAGGUUGGGUAACACUAACUGGAGGACCGAACCGACUAAUGUUGAAAAAUUAGCGGAUGACUUGUGGCUGGGGGUGAAAGGCCAAUCAAACCGGGAGAUAGCUGGUUCUCCCCGAAAGCU